UGGGGAAUAUUGCACAAUGGAGGGAACUCUGAUGCAGCAACGCCGCGUGCGGGAUGACGGCCUUCGGGUUGUAAACCGCUUUCAGCCAUGACGAAGCUGUUGUGACGGUAGUGGUAGAAGAAGCACCGGCCAACUACGUGCCAGCAGCCGCGGUGAUACGUAGGGUGCGAGCGUUGUCCGGAAUUAUUGGGCGUAAAGAGCUUGUAGGCGGUAUGUCGCGUCGAUAGUGUAAACACGCAGCUUAACUGUGUGCCGGCUGUCGAUACGGGCUGACUAGAGGAGAGUAGGGGAGGAUGGAAUUCCCGGUGGAGCGGUGGAAUGCGCAGAUAUCGGGAGGAACACCAGUGGCGAAGGCGGUUCUCUGGACCUUUCCUGACGCUGAGAAGCGAAAGCGUGGGUAGCAAACAGG
rnacentral:rRNA from 1 species